rnacentral:lncRNA from 1 species
UCCUAUUCUAUACAGCUUUGCAUUGCAAGUGUAGACCAUACAUAGUAGGAAAAUGACCACAGUGCAAACACAUAUUCACAAAGGACACUAAACACAUAAUUCAAAUACGUCGUUUGGAUUAAAAUAUGCAAGUUCACAUCAUGAUAGCCAACUUUCACUACAACUCUCUUUCAAAUUGUUUGUCCUGUGAUGUGGCAAAGAUAUUCUCAUACGCUUGCAAGGAUCAUAAACCACCAUGAUUUCCCAUCAUCGAUUAAAAAGUUCCUCUACAGUAUUUGGUCAUCCUGUGCACAAAUCAUAUAUAUGUAAAUCUCAAAUGAAUGAUUGAGAUGGAACUAUAACAUCAAAACUAUAAUUGUCGAAUGAUUGAUAAUGUGAAUCGCACAAUCAGAAUAACAAAGGAGAUAAAAAAAACAUUCGACACUCGAUACCCUUUAGGUACAAAUGCCACCCGCUCAUCACCCAAGUUCACAAGAACAGCUCCAAUGUGUGACCAAACGCGACUCGGCUCCAGCCUGCAGGCAUCCAAAGUGAGAUGGUGUGACAGCUUCAUGUUGCGGAAAGUAGUGGCUACUCUCGGGUGUAGUACACCCGAGUUAGCAAAAGAUUGAAAAAAUGUGAUCAAACAUUGUCCAAAAAAUCUAAACUUUUGGGACAUAAAACAUUAUCAGAUGUGUGAGGUCCUUGCAAAAUUUCAUCUAAAUAUAACAUCUGAGGAGCUCUCACCAAAAAUAACAAAAUCACUGCUCAAACAGUGCACAAAACUUUCAGCAGCGAUUUUGUUUUUUUCGGUGAGAGCUCCUCGGAUGUUAUUUUUCGAUGAAACUUGACACGAACCUCAAACAUAUGAUAAAGUUUGAUGUAGCAAAAUUUCAGAUUUUUUGGAUUUCGUUUGAUAAACUUUUUUCAAAGUUUUUGCUAACUCGGGUGUAGUACACCCGAGAGUAGAAAAUCCAGUCUCUUCAUGUUGCUGUAACUCUUCAUAGUAUACAACAAAAUCUGAUUCAAGCUUAACCACAACAAUAGAAAACAAUUGCUAGACAAAAUAUAUCUUUUGCAUAACCAGCAGGCACACCUCAAAUUACCCAACUUUAAUCAAAGUGAUAUAUAUGGUUCACGCUCAGCUCCCAUAGCCAUUCUUGUGCAGAAGAAUGUUGGGCACAUCACCUGGAAGGCACGGACAUGCAUGACUCACGGUAGUCUUGGUAUAUCAGUUUUUAAUACUUUUGCAUAUAAACAUCUUACUACAGUAAAGUGUGCUACCAAGUUAUAUUUGUAUAGCUACAGAGGUUUCCGGUAUACCUGAAUAUUUGCUUGGCCAUUAGCAUGUUUAGAUGACGGAACAUCUUCAGUUAACUGUGCUAAGUCAUGCUGAAAAAAAAUUACAGGGAUCCUGAAGGGAAGAACACUGAAUAUGUCGAAGAUAAGAACACUGAAGACUUGGAAAAUUUCCUAUGAUACAAAGUAUUGUCCCAGGUUACAUUGUCCAUCUUGGUCAGAUCCAGAAAAAACUUCACCAUCAUAGAAGUGUUUACUAUAAAAUUUAAUUGUAUAUUAUGAAAAAUAUUCAUGUGCACACAAUCGCCUAUACAAACCGGGGACUUCCUUCGCCAUAAGAACACUGAAGACAACGAAGAAACUGACUCCAAUGCUGAAACUAUUUCAGGGUCAUUACAAAAAGGAAGAAAAGACUUGGAAAAAAAUAUUAGUGAUUCGCACAAGGAGAUGUGGAAACAGUAGCACACCUUCUGUUACACUUAAGUGCGCAGCAAACUGCUUCUGAUAGAAUAUUGACAAAUAUGCAGGCAUGUGCGUGCACCAUGCUUGUUGUGCAGCAAAUCCUAAUAAGAAUUAUCGGUGGUAUAAUCCUAUGCUACCUAGACAAAAUGAGGAGCAAAAUAAUAAUAUUAAAAAAUUGUCUCGCACUGAAACAAAAAUCAAUAGCUCACCCAAGAAUGCUACCUGAAUAUGAGCAUCUAAAUCAUGUUCAUGCUUAACUACAAAAAGGAUAAUGCCAAGGAGGCGGAGAUGCAAGAUAAAUUAACAACAUCGGCAGUGAGUUGUGAAAGAAAGCCCUAGUGGAUAACAUCACCAAUUACUUGUUUAUAGUUUGGAUCCUUUCCAAUGUAGACAUUAGCAAUAAUUUUCUAUGAUACCGUGCAUAUAGGCUAAUAAUUAAAAUGCAAAAUGUCAAGAUUUGGAAAGUAAAAGGAAUCUAAUUAGAGUUUUCUGCGAGAGGAUUGUUAC